rnacentral:rRNA from 1 species
ACGAACGCUGGCGGCGCGCUUAACACAUGCCAGUCGAACGGAAAGGCCCUGCUUUUGUGGGGUGCUCGAGUGGCGAACGGGUGAGUAACACGUGAGUAACCUGCCCUUGACUUUGGGAUAACUUCAGGAAACUGGGGCUAAUACCGGAUAGGAGCUCCUGCUGCAUGGUGGGGGUUGGAAAGUUUCGGCGGUUGGGGAUGGACUCGCGGCUUAUCAGCUUGUUGGUGGGGUAGUGGCUUACCAAGGCUUUGACGGGUAGCCGGCCUGAGAGGGUGACCGGCCACAUUGGGACUGAGAUACGGCCCAGACUCCUACGGGAGGCAGCAGUGGGGAAUAUUGCACAAUGGGCGGAAGCCUGAUGCAGCAACGCCGCGUGCGGGAUGACGGCCUUCGGGUUGUAAACCGCUUUCGCCUGUGACGAAGCGUGAGUGACGGUAAUGGGUAAAGAAGCACCGGCUAACUACGUG